rnacentral:rRNA from 1 species
ACUACGGGAGGCAGCAGUGAGGAAUAUUGGUCAAUGGGCGCGAGCCUGAACCAGCCAAGUAGCGUGAAGGAUGACUGCCCUAAGGGUUGUAAACUUCUGUUAUAAAGGAAUAAAGUGAGGCACGUGUGCCUUUUUGUAUGUACUUUAUGAAUAAGGAUCGGCUAACUCGGUGCCAGCAGCCGCGGUAAGACGGAGGAUGAGAGUGUUAUCAGGAUUUAGUGGGAUUAAAGGGAGCGUAGAUGGGUUGUUAAGUAAGGUGUGAAAGUUUGCGGAUCAACCGUAAAAUUGCAUUUGAUACUGGCAGCCUUGAGUACAGUUGAGGUCGGCGGAAUUCGUGGUGUAGCGGUGAAAUGCUUAGAUAUCACGAAGAACUCCGAUGGCGAAGGCAGCCUACUAGACUGCCACUGACAUUGAUGCUCGAAAGUGUGGGUAUCAAACAGGAUUAGAUACCCGAGUAGUC